CUCUCUCUCUCUCUCUCUCUCUCUCUCUCUCUCUCUCUGCACCUCUCCGUCUCUGUUCAAUCUCUCUCUACCUCUCUCUGUCUCUCCCUCUCCACACUCAAACCCAUCGCCGACACUCUCUCUCUCUCUCUCUCUCUCUCUCUCUCUCUCUCUCUUCCAUCCUCUAGCACAAACCUAAGACCGCAGUUAUUAUACUGCUUGUCCAUCCUGCACGAUCAGAGCACCAGGUCCGGCCAUAUCUGGUCCUUUUACUCACUGCAAACAGAUUGAGUGGCAUCUUCAUAUUAUCUUCGAUUCAAAUAAGAAUUCUCAACAACUAUCAAAUUCCAGCCUUGCAAUCCUGCAGUGGGAGGACCUGCAAAAUCUCAACUGGUACAUGAGGUAUAUUCACUGGGUGGUGAAAUUGGGAAAACUGUUGAUAGUGAGAACUCGGAUUUUCCUAAACCUUGGAAUCAAGCUGAUUUUGAGGGUGGUUGUUUGCUCUUGCAUGGAAGGUCUAUUUUUCACAUUUCCUUUCAAAGAAAUAUAUUGUUGGUUUGAGUUCUCUAACCAUCUUCCACUAUUCUAUAGGGUGUGGGAAAUAGGGAAGCUGUAUGGCAGCGUAGAUACUUUUGUCUGGUCGGGCCAUUUCUUUAUAUACUAGAAAGCCCUGCUUCCUAAACUUACAAACGGUGUCUCAGCCUAUGAGGAAAACAAGUAUAUCAGGUUCCUCUGGAGCAUGCCGGCAAUGUAGAAAAUGUGUUAGCAGUUUGUGAUGUUGGGCAAUCAAACAUCAAGGACACAGAUGGUUUACACAAAGCGUUGGAAACAGUUGCUGGAAGUGAGGUGAGUUUUUUUUUUUUUUUUGUUGAUUUUGAUGAUGAUGCAAUAUUUAUUUAUUAUUUUAGAAUAUAGUUAUUUGUUAAACUCAUUAUCAUCUUUGGCAUUGGCUUCUUUUUAUUAGUAUCUUGGCAAAAGCUAACUGACCUGUUGCCUGCCUA